GAGAGAGAGGAGAGAGAAUGGCAUAGGGGUGGUGGCCAUUUCUGGAUCUCCAGCUGGUAGGGUCAGGUUUUUUGUCUUAUUGUAUGCCUCUCAACCCUUUUAACCCUCCUUAUAAGCCCAUCUAUAACAAAUCAUAUUCCCCCAAUUUCAUCUCCCUCUCUCUCCUCUCUCUCCCUCCCUUGAAACUAGGCGUAAGUUUUGGGGGAUAAAGGGAUGAGAGGCCAGAAAGUUAGAUAGAGACUCCCUUAUAUAUAAAUGUCGCUGUGUAUAUAUAUCCACAAAUGAAGACGAGAUCACAAAAUUUGAGGAGCUUAUUUUCUUGCGGGGAAUGUUGUCUGGCUCGAGGAUCUUUUCUCCUUGAUCCACUUUCUGCUUCUUCUUCUUCCUCUUCUUCUUAAUUUGAAGAAUGCUUUUGUAGAUCUACUGCAAGAGUCGUCGGACCAGGCUUCAUUCCCCCCAAUUUCUGCUCCAUUAUUCGAUUCCGAUCUAAAAGCUAGCAUUCAUUACAUUAUCAACUGGCUAUGGGUCCGAAUGGCAGGUUUCGACCCGACCCGACCCAACUCGCCCGAUUAAAAUGGGUCCACAUCCAUUUUCUCUACAUGCUUCGUGGAUUAUGUACCAGAAUUAAAUUGUGGAUUAAAAAAGAAAUAUUAUUGUAACGUAACCAAUUUAAUAGAAUCUCAUUUGGCAAAAUAAAGUUGAAUUUAAUAGAAUCUCAUUUGGCAAAAUAAAGUUGAAUUUUUCUGAAUGGUGCAAA